UUCGUACUGGAAGCCAGCAGGACACAUGCACUUGUAGCUCCCCAGCGUGUUGUGGCAGGAGGCUCCUCCGCAAAUGUGAGCACUGAGGCAUUCAUUUUCAUCUGCAGAAAAAACCAGAAGACACCGCACAUGUGAUACCAGCCAGAGGUUGCUAUGGAGGUGUCUGGAUCAGGCCACCUGCUGCCGGCCAGCUGGCCCUCCCCUAGGCUCUUGGGAAGGUGAAGAAAGCAAGACUCAGAAAGCCCCACCAAGAUCUCCCAGCAGCAGCCGCAGGGCAGAGAUGCACACCCAGACUUCUCGCCUGCCCUCGGCUCUACAAGGCUGAUCGGAAUGGAGCAUCCACAAGCUCCUCUCCUGUAUCCUGAGCUUUUGGUUGGGCUCAGCCAUCUGUUACCUGCUGAGACUCUGGCUGAUAAAACCUCUAAGGUCAUGAUGGGUCAGCUCCAACUUCAAGCUGCAAGUUUGAUAUUUUCUAGAAAGCAAUGAUAUCCGUGGCCCUUUACCCUAUAAACCCAUCCAUCUUCCAAGAGGGAACUUCUGGCUGCCUAGGAGCAAGGAUCCAGGGAGGGCUGGUCCAAGAGAUCUGCUCUGCAUGGCUCUGGGGAAGCCAUUCUGGCCCAAGGCAAUGCAGUGCUCAUUCUGGGACCUCUGCUGCCUCACUGAGGAAGAUCUGUCCAUUGGUGUCAUUAGGGUGUAAGUCUCUUACUAUCAUUGUAUUCCUGUCAAUUUCACCCUUUAUGUCUGUUAGUAUUUGUUUUAUAUAUUUAGGUGCUCCUAUAUUGGGUGCAUGUAUUAUUGAGCGUAAUAUACUCUUCUUGUAGUGAUCCCUUUAUCAUUAUAUAAUGUCCUUCUUUUUCUUUAUGGACUUUGUUUUAAAGUCUAUUUUGCCUGAUAUGAGUAUUCCUACCCCUGUUUUCUCGUCAUUUCCAUUUGCAUGAAAUAUCUUUUUCCAUCCCCUCACUUUCAAUCUGUGUGUCUUUCUCCCUGAAGUGAGUGUCUUGUAGGCUGCAUAUUAUAGGUUCUUGUUUUUUUUUUUUUUUUUGUGGUAUGCAGGCCUCUCACUGUUGUGGCCUCUCCCAUUGCGGAGCACAGGCUCUGGACGCACAGGCUCAGUGGCCAUGGCUCACGGGCCCAGCCACUCUGCGGCAUGUGGGAUCUUCCCAGACCGGGGCAUGAACCUGUGUCCCCUGCAUUGGCAGGUGGACUCUCAACCACUGCGCCACCAGGGAAGCCCUAGGUUCUUGUUUUUUAUCCAAUCUGCCACUGUGUCUUUCAAUCAGAGCAUUUAGUCCAUUGACAUUUAAAGUAAUUAUUGAGAGUUCCCUGACCAGGGAUAACACUCAUGCCCUCUGCAGUGGAAGCGUGGAGUCCCAUAACUGGACUACCAGGGAAUUCCCUCAAUAUUUCUUUUAAGAGAACAACAUCUAGACAUAUUUAACUCCUUGCUCCAUCUCAUGCCAUCAAGCUUGCCUCCUCCAGACAUCUCAUAAAUGAAUCACAGCAGAAGAUCCUUUUGAAGAAGCCCACUGGACAUUCACAUCGGAAGCUGCCAACCAUGUUGAUACACACGCCAUUUUCACAGACCCCUGGGAUCUCCCGACAUUCAUCGAUAUCUAGAAACAGAGCAGGCGGGAGCCAUCUUUGUACCCACCGGGCCCUGCGCACCAGAUGAGCAGAAUAAAAGUGACUGCCAAGAGAAAGUGGUCUCUCUACCCCAAGUGUGUGGUGGUGUUCGUCUAGAACGGGAGAGGAGAGCUGGUGAGGAACAGAGGAGGAGCCCAUGGUCACGGCCAGCUCUGAUCUUCCAAAUUCCACCUCAACGCCCCCUUUCUCCUUCACAUGGCUUUUGAAUGGAGUUGUCUAUAACUGACCCAGCCUUCAGAAAAGAAUUGAUGGCUUGAAAGACGUCGAGCACCUUGCUUUUCCGACUGCCGUUUACACAGCUGUUUCCAACACGAGCCUACCUGUACAAGUGAAGCCAUCGCCUGUGUAUCCUUCCUUGC